rnacentral:rRNA from 1 species
UACAGAGGGUGCAAGCGUUAAUCGGAAUUACUGGGCGUAAAGCGAACGUAGGCGGUUAUCUAAGUCGGAUGUGAAAUCCCCGGGCUCAACCUGGGAAUUGCAUUCGAGACUGGGUGGCUAGAAUGCGGAAGAGGGAAGCGGAAUUUCCGGUGUAGCGGUGAAAUGCGUAGAUAUCGGAAGGAACAUCAGUGGCGAAAGCGGCUUCCUGGUCCAGCAUUGACGCUCAGGUUCGAAAGCGUGGGGAGCAAACAGG